rnacentral:rRNA from 1 species
UGYAGCCCAAUCACAUCUGAUCUCCUCUAGAGCUAAGAAGCUAAGCAGGGUUGGGCCUGCAUAGUACUGGAUGGAAGACCAACGGGGAUAACAGGUGCUGUAC